rnacentral:rRNA from 1 species
CGCGAAAGUCCCUUCGGGGGCGAUUAGAGCGGCGGACGGGUGAGUAAUACAUAGGUAAUCUACCUUCGAGCUUGGGAUAACCCCGCGAAAGUGGGGCUAAUACCGGAUAAGACCACGUAACCAUGUUACGGGGUAAAAGGUGGCUUAUUUUUUAAAUGAGCUAUCACUUGAGGAUGAGCCUGUGGCCUAUCAGCUAGUUGGCGGGGUAAGAGCCCACCAAGGCUAUGACGGGUAACUGGUCUGAGAGGACGACCAGUCACACUGGGACUGAGACACGGCCCAGACUCCUACGGGAGGCAGCAGUGGGGAAUAUUGCGCAAUGGGGGAAACCCUGACGCAGCAACGCCGCGUGAAGGAUGAAGGUCUUCGGAUUGUAAACUUCUUUGAUGAGGGAAGAAUAAAUGACGGUACCUCAAAAACAAGCCACGGCUAACUACGUGCCAGCAGCCGCGGUAAUACGUAGGUGGCAAGCGUUGUCCGGAAUUACUGGGUGUAAAGGGCGUGUAGGCGGGAUGUUAAGUCAGAUGUGAAAUUCCAAAGCUCAACUUUGGCGCUGCAUCUGAAACUGAUGUUCUUGAGUGAUGGAGAGGAAAGCGGUAUUCCUAGUGUAGCGGUGAAAUGCGUAGAUAUUAGGAGGAACACCAGUGGCGAAGGCGGCUUUCUGGACAUUAACUGACGCUGAGGCGCGAAAGCGUGGGGAGCAAACAGGAUUAGAUA